GAGGAUAUAGCUCAGCGGUAGAGCACAUGCUUAGUUAGCAUGCAUGAGGUCCUGGGUUCAAUCCUGAGUACCUUCA
rnacentral:tRNA from 1 species